GACGAACGCUGGCGGCGUGCUUAACACAUGCAAGUCGAACGGAAGGGCCCUGCUUGCAGGGUACUCGAGUGGCGGACGGGUGAGUAACACGUGGGUGAUCUGCCGGUCACGGCGGGAUAAGCUUGGGAAACUGGGUCUAAUACCGGAUAGGAGCGAGCUUUAGUGUGGUGGUUGGUAAGUUUUUUCGGUGUAGGAUGAGCUCGCGGCCGAUCAGCUUGUUGGUGGGGUAAUGGCCUACCAAGGCGGCGACGGGUAGCCGGCCUGAGAGGGUGUACGGCCACACUGGGCCUGAGAUACGGCCCAGACUCCUGAGGGAGGCAGCAGUGGGGAAUAUUGGACAAUGGGAGGAAGCGUGAUGCAGCGACGCCGCGUGGGGGAUGAAGGCCUUAGGGUUGUAAACUCCUCUCGCUAGGGACGAAGCUCUUUUGUGACGGUACCUAGAUAAGAAGCACCGGCUAACUACGUG
rnacentral:rRNA from 1 species